UGGGGAAUAUUGCACAAUGGGCGCAAGCCUGAUGCAGCAACGCCGCGUGAGCGAUGAAGGCCUUCGGGUCGUAAAGCUCUGUCCUAUGGGAAGAUAAUGACGGUACCAUAGGAGGAAGCCCCGGCUCACUACGUGCCAGCAGCCGCGGUAAUACGUAGGGGGCAAGCGUUAUCCGGAAUUACUGGGCGUAAAGGGUGCGUAGGCGGUUUAUCAAGUCAGGGGUGAAAGGCUACGGCUCAACCGUAGUAAGCCUUUGAAACUGAUGAACUUGAGUGUAGGAGAGGAAAGUGGAAUUCCCAGUGUAGCGGUGAAAUGCGUAGAUAUUAGGAGGAACACCAGUUGCGAAGGCGGCUCUCUGGACUGUAACUGACACUGAGGCACGAAAGCGUGGGGAGCAAACAGG
rnacentral:rRNA from 2 species